UUUUGUUCGGCCAAAUGAAGAUAUCCGGGAAGUAUUUUUAGCGAAAAAUGAGGUAUAGAUUUCAGAAAGUCUCAGCCACAUGUCUUGCAGUCUGGCUGCAAAAGUUGCGCUUCUGGCACCCCCUAUUGGAAGCGGCUGAGGAAACCCAACCUGGGAUCUCUGGAUUUUCAGCAGGAUUUUCUGUCUCCUCAGUCCAAUGCUGUUGUCUUAUCUCAGUAAUGCUGGAGAAUCAUCACACAAAACAGACACGCAUCCUUCAUUUCUGUCUAAAUAACAGGUGGAGGUUUACAGGCUGAAGAGAUCCAACCUGGGAUGAUCAGAGACAUCAGAGAUCUGAGGUCUGAACCUGGAUCACAGACUAGUAAAGCUGAUGGUCCCCCACGCCAGCAGGAGGCAAGCAGGUAUCACGUGAAUGUAGAAUGCGAAAACUUACCAGCAGUAUGAAAAACAAGAAGGAAACCAGGAGGACAGGAG